GAUGAACGCUGGCGGCGUGCCUAAUACAUGCAAGUCGAGCGAACAGACGAGGAGCUUGCUCCUCUGACGUUAGCGGCGGACGGGUGAGUAACACGUGGAUAACCUACCUAUAAGACUGGGAUAACUUCGGGAAACCGGAGCUAAUACCGGAUAAUAUAUUGAACCGCAUGGUUCCAUAGUGAAAGACGGUUUUGCUGUCACUUAUAGAUGGAUCCGCGCCGCAUUAGCUAGUUGGUAAGGUAACGGCUUACCAAGGCAACGAUGCGUAGCCGACCUGAGAGGGUGAUCGGCCACACUGGAACUGAGACACGGUCCAGACUCCUACGGGAGGCAGCAGUAGGGAAUCUUCCGCAAUGGGCGAAAGCCUGACGGAGCAACGCCGCGUGAGUGAUGAAGGUCUUCGGAUCGUAAAACUCUGUUAUUAGGGAAGAACAAAUGUGUAAGUAACUAUGCACGUCUUGACGGUACCUAAUCAGAAAGCCACGGCUAACUACGU
rnacentral:rRNA from 1 species